rnacentral:miRNA from 3 species
UCACCGGGUAGAAUUCAUCCAG